rnacentral:lncRNA from 1 species
UUUUGGUCAUUUUUACAGCUAUUUACUAACUUGAUAUUUUUGUUUAAAAAUUAAAGGCAUAAUUCAAGAUAUCAAAUAAGAAAGUAAGGGGUAGGGAUUUUUAGGGCUUACUUAAGUAUCAAGGAGUAUAAGGCACAUUAAAAGUGCAUACUCUUCAGUGUUUGUGAAUUGAAACUGGAAAAUGGUUGUUUUAUAAGUUUUGAAACUCCUAAAAAUCAUUUUGAGCAUGCAAGACAAUGAUAUCAAUCCAAUAUUGAGAAAAACAUUUUUGAGAAAUUUAUAGGCAACUUAACCAUCUAUAUUUUAAGAUAGACAUUAUAUUAUGGCAAACUUGGUUAAAUGAUCUUGAUAAUUCUUAAAAUCUCAUAAUUUUGUUAUAUUAAAAUCUCCAUCAGGCAUACUCUGCAUAUCAACUUGGCCAAUAACAUGAGUUAAAUUCCUUUUACAAAAUAAGUUUAACUACGACUUCUUUUGUCAGACAUUUGCGAUGAAGCUGACAUUCUUCACAAACAAAUUUAUACAAAUUGAUGGCGUUAAGAGUCACAUUUUCAUAUUUCCGUGUUUUUAUGAGUUCUUCAAGACCUCCAAACGUAAACUUAUAUACCUCCAACAAAAUUUUAUCAUCGUUUCUUUCUGUAUAAGAAUGAUCUUUUUGUGGAUUGAAAAAGUCAACUAAAUAACAACAACAACAACAACAACAAUACUUUAUUUUAAGAGGGUUACACAGUUAGCUAUAUAACUAAUCUUCCCUGAGGCCCUCAUCAUGAGAAAUCAAACAAAAUGCAAACAUAUACAUUGCAUACAUUAGUAUAAAAAGUCAAGU